rnacentral:lncRNA from 1 species
GGAGAAUUACAGGCUGUAGUUUUUGGCCCUGAAGUCCCAUCAUAGUAGCUUUGGAGACUGUCUAGGGAAGCUCCUCUGAGUAUGCCAUUCAGUAUGUCCAAGAGUGGAGCCUAGUCCUUUCUGCAGUCAUGCUUUUAUUACUUCUGAGACUCUGUGGCUGAAUCCUGAGACUCAAGCUGGCCAAAGGACCUCUGGGAAAACCGGGUAGUGUCUGAUAUGAAAUCUCAUUUCCACUACCACAUUUUCUGUCUGUUAAUUUUUCAAAGAGAGCCUCACUCAGAUGAUGAAGCCUGCUUGAUUUGGGGGUGAUGAGUAAUCUGGCCACAGCCCCUGUGACGACAAGUCUGUGAGGUUUUGGAGCAGCACUGUGCACCACAUUCAAAUCAGAACACUCAGGUUUCCUUCACAAUAUCAAUGUGGUAGCGGCUGGAAAGAAAUAUUCUAAAAUUUAGAGGAAGAAUUACAGGGAUGGAAAUGGAAAGGAGCCUGAGGAAAAGAAGGUCCAGUGACAGGCCCAAAGAGGGAUCAAGCUCAAGGGAAGGUCCCAAGGCCCAACACUAUUACUGAGUCUAUGGAGCACUCACAAAAAGCGACCUAGCAUGACCGAACACUGGAAGAACCAACAAGCAUCUAAAAGAUUCAGAUGCAGAUAUUUACAACCAAGAAAUGGACAGAAGCAGCUGACCCCUGUUGUUGAAUUAGGGAAGGCUGAAAGAAGGUGAGGAGAAGUGCGAUCCUGCAAGAGGACCAACAGUUUCAAUUAAUCUGGACGCCUGAGAUCUCUCAAACACUGGAACACCAAACAGACAGCAUAAACCAGCUGAUAUGAGGCCCCCAACACACAUACAGUAGAAGACUUCCGGGUCUGCGUUCAUUCAGAGAUGAUGCACCUAAUUCUCAAAAGACUGAAGGCCUCAGGGAAUUUAGAGGUCAGUUUCCCACGGAUUGGUCUGCUGAAUGAUAGUUUACAAUCAACGUGCCUGGCAAUGAAGCCCUCCUCUUUUGCUUUUCCAAGGACACUAGAAGGAAUCCACCUAAAGCACUGAAACAGUGAGGUCAAGUCCAAGUGGAUCAAGGAUCUCCACAUAAAAGAAGAGACACUGAAACUUAUGGAGAGGGAAAGUCACAAAGCAAUAUGGAGUCAAGCCUAUGAUUUAAAUGGACAGCCAGAAAUUUGGAAGGAACAAGACUUAACAUUUGAUGGGGAAGACUUGUAGAGACGAGGUAGACAAAGAUGAACAAAAUAGAAAUUUGCCAUCUCCAAUGCAAGGCACCAUCACUAAUAAAUAUCUUUGCUGAAAAAUAAAUGCAGAAUGGAAGACAGGAAAAGAAAAUUAAUAACUUCCUUUAAACUUCAAGGAGAGAAUUUGCUCUGGUAAAGAAAUCAUACUUGUAACAUUGUAGCAAAGAUCUACAUAUAUACCUACGUGACUGAAAAUUCUUCCCUACCUUCCCAGGAUUUCUAGUUAUCCCCUAGGGGAGACAUAUAUAAGGUGACAGGGAAGUUAUAAUGAUACUUCUGAAACAAUUUGUGAUAGUGGUAACUUUCAGAGGACUGCUAAGACAGUAAACGAAUGAAGGUAUGAUUUUGUGACUCAGAAAUGAAGUUUCUCAAGGUUCUAGAAAGCUACAAAGAUGUCUGGCAUAUCCAGCAACUGCAUCAUCUUAUAAUUACUCCUGGUACAAGAUUGUGCCCAUUGAUAUCAUGGAAAUAUUUAUGUAGAACCAAAACAAAAGC